ensembl:snoRNA SNORD18 Small nucleolar RNA SNORD18
CAUCAGUGAUGAGCUGCCACUUCAUGGUCCGUGUUUUUGAAACUCUGAUAUUAAAAGAAGUUCUGAGUUU